rnacentral:tRNA from 1 species
GGCACGAUAAUUUAGGGUUAGACCAGAGGACUCAUAACCCUAAGGAUGGGCGCUCAAAUCUCCCUCGUGCGACCA